GACGAACGCUGGCGGCGUGCUUAACACAUGCAAGUCGAACGGAAAGGCCAUGCUUUUGUGGGGUGCUCGUGUGGCGAGCGGGUGAGUAACACGUGAGUAAACUGCCCCUGUCUUUGGGAUAUCUCCAGGAAAAUGGGGCUAAUACCGGAUAGGAGCUCCUGCUGCACGGUGGGGGAUGGAAAGAUUCGGCGGUUCGGGAUCGACUCGCGGCUUAUCAGCUUGUUGAUGGGGUAGUGGCUUACCAAGGCUUUGACGGGUAGCCGGCCUGGGAGGGUGACCGGCCACAUUGGGCCUGCGAGACGGCCCAGACUCCUACGGUCGGCAGCGGGGGGGAAUAUUGCAGAGUGGGCGGAAGCCUGAUGCAGCAACGCCGCGAGCGGGAUAACGGCCUUCGGGUGGUGAACCGCUUUGUCCUGUGACGAAGCGUGAGUGACGGUAAUGGGUAAGGAAGCACCGGCUAACUACGUG
rnacentral:rRNA from 1 species